GAUGAACGCUAGCUACAGGCUUAACACAUGCAAGUCGAGGGGAAACGGCAUUUAGUGCUUGCACCGAAUGGACGUCGACCGGCGCACGGGUGAGUAACGCGUAUCCAACCUACCCAUUACUGUGGGAUAACCUGCCGAAAGGCAGACUAAUACCGCAUAGUCUUCGAUGACGGCAUCAGAUUUGAAGUAAAGAUUUAUCGGUAAUGGAUGGGGAUGCGUCUGAUUAGCUUGUUGGCGGGGUAACAGCCCACCAAGGCAACGAUCAGUAGGGGUUCUGAGAGGAAGGUCCCCCACAUUGGAACUGAGACACGGUCCAAACUCCUACGGGAGGCAGCAGUGAGGAAUAUUGGUCAAUGGGCGCGAGCCUGAACCAGCCAAGUAGCGUGCAGGAUGACGGCCCUAUGGGUUGUAAACUGCUUUUGUAUGGGGAUAAAGUCAAUCACGUGUGAUUGUUUGCAGGUACCAUACGAAUAAGGACCGGCUAAUUCCGUGCCAGCAGCCGCGGUAAUACGGAAGGUCCAGGCGUUAUCCGGAUUUAUUGGGUUUAAAGGGAGCGUAGGCCGGAGAUUAAGUGUGUUGUGAAAUGUAGACGCUCAACGUCUGACUUGCAGCGCAUACUGGUUUCCUUGAGUACGCACAACGUUGGCGGAAUUCGUCGUGUAGCGGUGAAAUGCUUAGAUAUGACGAAGAACUCCGAUUGCGAAGGCAGCUGACGGGAGCGCAACUGACGCUUAAGCUCGAAGGUGCGGGUAUCGAACAGG
rnacentral:rRNA from 1 species